rnacentral:tRNA from 1 species
GCGGGUAUAGCUCAGUGGUAGAGCUCCAGCCUUCCAAGCUGGUCGGGUGGGUUCGAUUCCCACUAUCCGCUCC